rnacentral:rRNA from 1 species
UACGGGGGAUGCAAGCGUUAUCCGGAAUUAUUGGGCGUAAAGGGUCCUGAGGUGGCUAGCCAAGUCUAUUGUGAAAUAUCAGGGCUUAACCCUGAACAUGCGGUGGAAACUAGAAAGCUUGAGUACAGUAGGGGCGGAGGGAAUUUCCGGUGGAGCGGUGAAAUGCAUAGAUAUCGGGAAGAACACCAACGGCGAAAGCACUCCGCUGGGCUGAUACUGACACUGACAGACGAAAGCUAGGGUAGCGAAAGGG